rnacentral:rRNA from 1 species
AACGAACGCUGGCGGCAUGCCUAACACAUGCAAGUCGAACGAGACCUUCGGGACUAGUGGCGCACGGGUGUGUAACGCGUGGGAACCUGCCCUUAGGUUCGGCAUAACUCCCCGAAAGGGGUGCUAAUACCGGAUAAUGUCUUCGGACCAAAGAUUUAUCGCCUUUGGAUGGGCCCGCGUUGGAUUCGCUCGUUGGUAGGGUAAAAGCCUACCAAGGCGACGAUCCAUAGCUGGUCUGAGAGGAUGAUCAGCGACACUGGGACUGAGACACGGCCCAGACUCCUACGGGAGGCAGCAGUGGGGAAUAUUGGACAAUGGGCGAAAGCAUGAUCCAGCAAUGACGCGUGAGUGAUGAAGGCCUUAGGGUUGUAAAGCUCUUUUACCCGGGAUGAUAAUGACAGUACCGGGAGAAUAAGCUCCGGCUAACUCCGUG